AUCCCUCAAUUUCCCUCAUUGGUUUUACUGUUCCCCAUGGCACUUACAGAGGAAAAAUUAAUACUAUGUAUUUGUUCUCUUCCAUAGGGCAAGAUGAUUUUGGUCUUUUUUACUCACCAAUACAUCUCCAGUGCUUAGCAGAUCUACUGAAUCCACUAUUUAGGAAAAGCCGCAUUUCAGCAUUCUGGUGGGUGACAUGACAUUUAAUUGUCCUAAUAUAUGAAAACUUCAGGCUAAGAGUUACAGCUAAAAUUAUCUGUGGAUUUCUAUUAUCCACCUACACUUAAUUUCCCUUAGUUGCCCAAGGGCUCCUGCC
rnacentral:lncRNA from 10 species